rnacentral:rRNA from 1 species
UACGGGAGGCAGCAGUGGGGAAUAUUGCACAAUGGGCGAAAGCCUGAUGCAGCUAUGCCGCGUGUAUGAAGAAGGCCUUAGGGUUGUAAAGUACUUUCAUCGGGGAGGAAAAAACAAAACUAAUAAUUUUAUUUCUUGACGUUACCCGAAAAAGAAGCACCGGCUAACUCCGUGCCAGCAGCCGCGGUAAUACGGAGGGUGCUAGCGUUAAUCAGAAUUACUGGGCGUAAAGAGCACGUAGGUGGUUUUUUUAAGUCAGAUGUGAAAUCCCUGGGCUUAACCUAGGAACUGCAUUUUGAAACUGAAAUACUAGAGUAUCGUAGAGGGAGGUAGAAUUCUAGGUGUAGCGGUGAAAUGCGUAGAUAUCUGGAGGAAUACCUGUGGCGAAAGCGGCCUCCUAAACGAAUACUGACACUGAGGUGCGAAAGCGUGGGGAGCAAACGAGGGAUUAGAUACC